GGUGUACUGUGAGGUAUGCUGGAGGUAUCAGAAGUGCGAAUGCUGACAUAAGUAACGAUAAAGCGGGUGAAAAGCCCGCUCGCCGGAAGACCAAGGGUUCCUGUCCAACGUUAAUCGGGGCAGGGUGAGUCGACCCCUAAGGCGAGGCCGAAAGGCGUAGUCGAUGGGAAACAGGUUAAUAUUCCUGUACUUGGUGUUACUGCGAAGGGGGGACGGAGAAGGCUAUGUUGGCCGGGCGACGGUUGUCCCGGUUUAAGCGUGUAGGCUGGUUUUCCAGGCAAAUCCGGAAAAUCAAGGCUGAGGCGUGAUGACGAGGCACUACGGUGCUGAAGCAACAAAUGCCCUGCUUCCAGGAAAAGCCUCUAAGCAUCAGGUAACAUCAAAUCGUACCCCAAACCGACACAGGUGGUCAGGUAGAGAAUACCAAGGCGCUUGAGAGAACUCGGGUGAAGGAACUAGGCAAAAUGGUGCCGUAACUUCGGGAGAAGGCACGCUGAUAUGUAGGUGAAGUCCCUCGCGGAUGGAGCUGAAAUCAGUCGAAGAUACCAGCUGGCUGCAACUGUUUAUUAAAAACACAGCACUGUGCAAACACGAAAGUGGACGUAUACGGUGUGACGCCUGCCCGGUGCCGGAAGGUUAAUUGAUGGGGUCAGCGCAAGCGAAGCUCUUGAUCGAAGCCCCGGUAAACGGCGGCCGUAACUAUAACGGUCCUAAGGUAGCGAAAUUCCUUGUCGGGUAAGUUCCGACCUGCACGAAUGGCGUAAUGAUGGCCAGGCUGUCUCCACCCGAGACUCAGUGAAAUUGAACUCGCUGUGAAGAUGCAGUGUACCCGCGGCAAGACGGAAAGACCCCGUGAACCUUUACUAUAGCUUGACACUGAACAUUGAGCCUUGAUGUGUAGGAUAGGUGGGAGGCUUUGAAGUGUGGACGCCAGUCUGCAUGGAGCCGACCUUGAAAUACCACCCUUUAAUGUUUGAUGUUCUAACGUUGACCCGUGAUCCGGGUUGCGGACAGUGUCUGGUGGGUAGUUUGACUGGGGCGGUCUCCUCCUAAAGAGUAACGGAGGAGCACGAAGGUUGGCUAAUCCUGGUCGGACAUCAGGAGGUUAGUGCAAUGGCAUAAGCCAGCUUGACUGCGAGCGUGACGGCGCGAGCAGGUGCGAAAGCAGGUCAUAGUGAUCCGGUGGUUCUGAAUGGAAGGGCCAUCGCUCAACGGAUAAAAGGUACUCCGGGGAUAACAGGCUGAUACCGCCCAAGAGUUCAUAUCGACGGCGGUGUUUGGCACCUCGAUGUCGGCUCAUCACAUCCUGGGGCUGAAGUAGGUCCCAAGGGUAUGGCUGUUCGCCAUUUAAAGUGGUACGCGAGCUGGGUUUAGAACGUCGUGAGACAGUUCGGUCCCUAUCUGCCGUGGGCGCUGGAGAACUGAGGGGGGCUGCUCCUAGUACGAGAGGACCGGAGUGGACGCAUCACUGGUGUUCGGGUUGUCAUGCCAAUGGCACUGCCCGGUAGCUAAAUGCGGAAGAGAUAAGUGCUGAAAGCAUCUAAGCACGAAACUUGCCCCGAGAUGAGUUCUCCCUGACUCCUUGAGAGUCCUGAAGGAACGUUGAAGACGACGACGUUGAUAGGCCGGGUGUGUAAGCGCAGCGAUGCGUUGAGCUAACCGGUACUAAUGAACCGUGAGGCUUAACCUUACAACGCCGAAGCUGUU
rnacentral:rRNA from 1 species